rnacentral:rRNA from 1 species
CCUACGGGUGGCAGCAGUGGGGAAUAUUGGACAAUGGGGGGAAUCCUGAUCCAGCCAUGCCGCGUGUGUGAAGAAGGCCCUCGGGUUGUAAAGCACUUUCAGUGAGGAAGAACGCCUGGUGGUUAAUACCCAUCAGGAAAGACAUCACUCACAGAAGAAGCACCGGCUAACUCCGUGCCAGCAGCCGCGGUAAUACGGAGGGUGCGAGCGUUAAUCGGAAUUACUGGGCGUAAAGCGCGCGUAGGUGGCUUGAUAAGCCGGUUGUGAAAGCCCCGGGCUCAACCUGGGAACGGCAUCCGGAACUGUCAAGCUAGAGUGCAGGAGAGGAAGGUAGAAUUCCCGGUGUAGCGGUGAAAUGCGUAGAGAUCGGGAGGAAUACCAGUGGCGAAGGCGGCCUUCUGGACUGACACUGACACUGAGGUGCGAAAGCGUGGGUAGCAAACAGGAUUAGAUACCCUGGUAGUC